rnacentral:rRNA from 1 species
GUGAACGCUGGCGGUAGGCCUAACACAUGCAAGUCGAACGGCAGCACAGAGGAGCUUGCUCCUUGGGUGGCGAGUGGCGGACGGGUGAGGAAUACAUCGGAAUCUACUCUUUCGUGGGGGAUAACGUAGGGAAACUUACGCUAAUACCGCAUACGACCUUCGGGUGAAAGCACGUGAUCGCAAGAACUUGCGCGAUUGAAUGAGCCGAUGUCGGAUUAUCUAGUUGGCGGGGUAAAGGCCCACCAAGGCAACGAUCCGUAGCUGGUCUGAGAGGAUGAUCAGCCACACUGGAACUGAGACACGGUCCAGACUCCUACGGGAGGCAGCAGUGGGGAAUAUUGGACAAUGGGCGCAAGCCUGAUCCAGCCAUACCGCGUGGGUGAAGAAGGCCUUCGGGUUGUAAAGCCCUUUUGUUGAGAAAGAAAAGCACGCGGUUAAUACCCGAGUGUUCUGACGGUACCCAAAGAAUAAGCACCGGCUAACUUCGUGCCAGCAGCCGCCGUAA